GACGAACGCUGGCGGCGUGCUUAACACAUGCAAGUCGAACGGAAAGGCCCUGCUUUUGUGGGGUGCUCGAGUGGCGAACGGGUGAGUAACACGUGAGUAACCUGCCCUUGACUUUGGGAUAACUUCAGGAAACUGGGGCUAAUACCGGAUAGGAGCUCCUGCUGCAUGGUGGGGGUUGGAAAGUUUCGGCGGUUGGGGAUGGACUCGCGGCUUAUCAGCUUGUUGGUGGGGUAGUGGCUUACCAAGGCUUUGACGGGUAGCCGGCCUGAGAGGGUGACCGGCAACAUUGGGGCUGAGAUACGGCCCAGACUCCUACGGGAGGCAGCAGUGGGGAAUAUUGCACAAUGGGCGGAAGCCUGAUGCAGCAACGCCGCGUGCGGGAGGACGGCCUUCGGGUUGUAAACCGCUUUCGCCUGUGACGAAGCGUGAGGGACGGUAAUGGGUAAAGAAGCACCGGCUAACUACGG
rnacentral:rRNA from 1 species